UACGGGGGGGGGCAAGCGUUGUUCGGAAUUACUGGGCGUAAAGGGCUUGUAGGUGGCCAACUAAGUCAAACGUGAAAUCCCUCGGCUUAACCGGGGAACUGCGUCUGAUACUGGAUGGCUCGAGUGUGGGAGAGGGAUGCGGAAUUCCAGGUGUAGCGGUGAAAUGCGUAGAUAUCUGGAGGAACACCCGUGGCGAAAGCGGCGCGCUGGACCACUACUGACGCUGAGGAACGAAAGCUAGGGGAGCAAACAGG
rnacentral:rRNA from 1 species